rnacentral:rRNA from 1 species
GGGGCAGCGGGGUUGUAGCAAUACAACUGCCGGCGACCGGCGCACGGGUGAGUAACACGUAUGUAACCUGCCCUCUGCAGGGGGAUAAGCGGAAGAAAUUCCGUCUAAUACCGCAUAAUACAAUUUGGAGACAUCUCCGGGUUGUCAAAGGAGUGAUCCGGCAGAGGAUGGACAUGCGGCGCAUUAGCUAGUCGGCGGGGUAACGGCCCACCGAGGCUACGAUGCGUAGGGGUUCUGAGAGGAAGGUCCCCCACACUGGUACUGAGACACGGACCAGACUCCUACGGGAGGCAGCAGUGAGGGAUAUUGGUCAAUGGGCGGAAGCCUGAACCAGCCAAGUCGCGUGAGGGAAGACGGUCCUAUGGAUUGUAAACCUCUUUUGCAGGGGAGCAAGGCGCGGUACGUGUACCGCGAAGGAGAGUACCCUGAGAAAAAGCAUCGGCUAACUCCGUGCCAGCAGCCGCGGUAAUACGGAGGAUGCGAGCGUUAUCCGGAUUUAUUGGGUUUAAAGGGUGCGCAGGCGGACUGUUAAGUCAGCGGUAAAAUGUCGGUGCUCAACACCGGCCGGCCGUUGAAACUGGCAGCCUUGAGUGAGCGAGAAGUAUGCGGAAUGCGUGGUGUAGCGGUGAAAUGCAUAG